CUGUGUCACUCAUACUCACACAUAUAAAUAUAUAGACACAGUCAAACACACACAUUCAUCUAUAUAAACACUUACAUGCAUACAGAAACACACACACAUAUAUAUAGAAUCAUUCACCGCCAUUUCCACAUUGUCACACAAUCUAGGUGAUGUACCACAUAGGCUGCCGUGAGUUUCAUUUAUUUUUUCAUUAAUUAAUAUUAUAAUUACUGUUAUUUACCUUUCUCUUGUUUAUAUGGGAUUAAUGUAUUUCUAUCUCCAUUACGCUGUAACUCCUUCGUCCGAGUUGGGACGAAAAUCUAGAAAAACAAAAAUUAAACUUAAAACCAGAAUUAAACGGCGCGGGUUUCCUACUUUGAAAUUGUUUUGAAGAACUCCAUUCAAUUCGCCUUCGUCUUUUCAUCAACAUAAUCACUCACCUUGUUGAAUUUUCGCCAACAAUCAUUUCCCAGUCGUAUAGUUAUUUGUAUUGUAAUAAUAUAGUGAUUUAUGUUUAAUAAUAAUAAUAAUCCUUUCUAAUAAAGGCUCUAGAUCUGAAAUUUAGAGGGAAGGGAUAGACUAUUACAUCGACCUUAGUACGCAACUGGUACUUAUUUUAUCGAUCCUCAAAGUUGACUUUAAAAAUAUAUAUUGAUGACUAACCCAUUUCUGUAAACUAUACUGUCGUUUAAUUUUAAUAUUAACCUCGCACAAACUUAAACUUUAUCACAAAUGUUAGUAACAUCGAUGCAACUUUUUACAAUGUGUAACGAUUACGCUAUAGACAAGGUGUUUUAUUUUAGAAAGGUUGUCCUUUUAGUGUAGGCUGUGUGACAGGGACCAGCGACUUGGUGAAACUUGAGCAGCGAGGCACCGAACUAGAUAUUCUUUUAUUUCUAGCGAUCCACGGCUGUUUUGUUAACAAAGUCCUCUUAAUUUCGUUACUUUUUGGAUAACUAAUUGGCGGUCUUCCGUUUCAUGUACCUGUAAUGAAGGACAACAAAGUGAAAGGAGAACAAAUGCCAGUACACAGUAAGCUAUAGACUUUAUUUGGUAAAUUCUUACAAUAUAUUCCAUAUAUUAAAUACUAUAGAAGGAACUUCGAAAGUAAAUAUUGCCUCUGUCUUUUCAACUUCUAAGAAUUUACCUGGCCCCGUAGAGAAGGGGAAAUCACUGAAUCAAUAUUCAUCGCUUCAAUUGUUAAAGUAUUUAGGAGGGAGAGAGAGAGAGAAACAGCUGGAUAUCCCAAACUUGCAUCAUAAAUCUGAGCUAAUUCCUGCAUAAAAUUCAUUACUGUGUUAUCAUCAGGUUGUUGUCAUUUAUGAAGUUCAUCUAUAAUCAAAGACAUUCCAAUUGUGACCAACAUGUCGAUUUUGGGGGAGGAUGAAGUAGGGCAUAGUAACAGGACAUCAUGAUAGAAUGUAAAAGAAAAACAAUAGAAUCAGAAGAAAAUAGUGUGUCAGGAAUAGUAAAUUCACAAGGUUCAAGAAGAAUGAAGUAUUUUGCUAUGCAGAAGAAAAGUUUAACAUUUUUUGCCAGAACUUUUCAGACAUGAACAGUUUAUUCAAUAUAUCUCCACUUUUUCAAGGUAGCAGGGUUUGAUUUGAGAGAGAUUUCGUUGCUUUUUCUUGCAGGUUGAGCGCCCACGUAGAAGCAUCCCCAAUGGUUUUGAUUACACAAGGAUAUAUUAAUAAUUUGCUCAGUAUUUCAUUAUGAAGGACUGGUUAUUUUAUCUUUCAUACUUCUUGGAUCGUGAAGGAGAUUUGACAGCAAUUUCUAGCAGGUCAAACAGUUGUGUUGACUCUAUAAUGUUAUUAUGAUUGUUCGUUGACAUCUUUACCUUUUCAACUUCCCGAGGGUGAUGAAAUAAAGUACCAGUUAAGUACUGGGUCAAUGUAACCGAUUGAUCCCUUCUUAUAAUUACGAGACCUUGUGUCGAUGUAAGAAAUCGUCAUUAUUAUUUUGCUAGGAUAGUAGACAAAGUGGAUAGAUUAGCUAAUUAUCACUCUACAAGAUGAGUUCAAGAAGUACUGUUGGGGUUGACUUUACAUUUUAUUCAGCGUAUGUCGUUAAAAUAUUUACCACUCAACUGGGUUCAGCUAUUUCACGCCUGUCCUCUACAAAUUGUUGGCCUUCUCAUUUAAUCAGUUUUUUUUUUAAAGUAAUUUAUAAAAUGUUUGCUUUCCUUUUUUCAACUUUAAUUGUAGAAAUGAUUUUGCUUUUUUUGUUUACUUGUAUCUUUUCUAAAGUAGUUACUUUAGAAUCUUAUCUCUGAACACGUAUGUGUACUGUAAAUCACUGCAAACCUCCACCAUUCUACCGAUGAUAAUAAACUCUACUUGAUUGUUCCACUAAUUGAUGCUUGUUGAAGAUAUAUUUGCACUUGUAAUCACGUUGUAUUAAUAACAAUUUCACUUUCAUGAGUAUACAGUAUUUUGUUAUUGAGGGUUUUUUUUUAGAUGUGAGCCCGCUUUGUACAAUACUUUUUAAUUCUAUUUAAAUAUUGUUUUAUGGACACCUCUGUAUGUAUGCGUACGCAUACAUUGGUAUAUUUACACAUACACGCACAGGUAUGUUUAUGACCACACGUUAAUAUGCAAAAGUAAACCGACCCAGUAAUAUCUCGUAUUGUUCCGCGCUUCUACCUUUCCAAUUGAAGAACCCCUUCUCAGGUGUUUCUCAGACGUACACGUAACAUUAUUAAGUAGUAGGGGUAAAAAUUGAAGUACUGUCUCUAAUAAUGUAUUGUUUAUUUGUGUAUCUAGCAGUCUCUCUUCUAGUAAACUAAUCAAAUAUUCCAUGCGAAACGCCAACUCUUAAAAUGGAUUGCUGAUUGAUCUGUUUUUUGUUUACUUUCUAAUUAUAAGCCAGGCAACACUCACCCACAAAUUGUAAGAUCGCUAUAACUAGCAGCUACUCUGCUUAGCUGAAUAACUAGUACUGCUUUAUCUCGGUUUAAAUUAGCUUGCAUGUCCAGAAAGAUUUAAUAAAUGACUUUAAUACAGGACAGAUCAUUAAACCACUUUUGUGCUAAGUUUUGGAAUGUCACUAUUAUGAAAACAUUCAAAGCUCUGUGGAAAUAAUAAUAAAAAGAGAAAUUGUUAUUUAUUACCUUUUUUUUUAUAUAAACAUAUUCGGUUUCGAAAUUAAUGACAAAUUUUACCACACACACACAAAAGAAAAAAGUGCUUAUUUGAUGUUCAUGUCUUUCCACCAAGACAGUGAGUGAAACAGUCAACUAGUUUGCAGAGUUGGCUGAAGGACAAUUUACAUUAAUUUGGUGCUAUAUACCAAAAUUGUGUUUUUCUUAAGCCAGUCAAAUACCUGUCUUUGUCAGAUACAGCUUGUCAAGACAAUUGGUUCAAACCUGGCAACUAUUUAGAGAUGAAAACAAUUCUUAUGGAAUUUGUAAAGCAACUAAUUGCAGCAUUCCUCUAUUUAAGUCAGCUCUAUUGACUAUAAACUGUAGAAUCUGAUAGAAAUACAUUUGAUAUAGUUCAAUUAUUUCCCAUAUAUGAGUAAUCAUCAAUAGAAUUAAAAAUGACUUGGGAUCUCAUAGAACAAUUGGUAUAUCUAUGGAGUGUAUAUGUGGAAAUACUUAUUGGGCAACAGCCUCCUGAGCUAAGUCUGAGACACUAGGUCAAUGUCAGUUUGGGACACUUACUUGACUCCUCAUGAAUAUGAUUUCCAGUUGGCCAUAAUCUAGACCUGGGCUGGUUCUGCCAUGCUGAUUUGCCUUUGUAGUGCUACCUAUUGUGUAGUAUAUACACAUAUACACCACAUCAAAUGUAUUUCAAUCUGAUUCUUGUUUUGCUGGCUC
rnacentral:lncRNA from 1 species